GACGAACGCUGGCGGCGUGCUUAACACAUGCAAGUCGAACGGAAAGGCCCUGCUUGCCGGGUACUCGAGUGGCGAACGGGUGAGUAACACGUGGGUGAUCUGCCCUGCACUUCGGGAUAAGCCUGGGAAACUGGGUCUAAUACCGGAUAGGAGCCAUUUUUAGUGUGAUGGUUGGAAAGUUUUUUCGGUGUAGGAUGAGCUCGCGGCCUAUCAGCUUGUUGGUGGGGUAAUGGCCUACCAAGGCGGCGACGGGUAGCCGGCCUGAGAGGGUGGACGGCCACAUUGGGACUGAGAUACGGCCCAGACGCCUACGGGAGGCAGCAGGGGGGGAUAUUGCACAAUGGGCGCAAGCCUGAUGCAGCGACGCCGCGGGGGGGAUGACGGCCUUCGGGUUGUAAACCCCUUUCGCUAGGGACGAAGCUUUUUGUGACGGUACCUAGAUAAGAAGCACCGGCUAACUACGUG
rnacentral:rRNA from 1 species